GCUUACGGCCAUACGCACCCUGAGCACGCCCGAUCUCGUCUGAUCUCGGAAGCUAAGCAGGGUCGGGCCUGGUUAGUAACUUGGAUGGAGAACGCCUGAAAUACCAGGUGCAGUAAGCU
rnacentral:rRNA from 1 species